GCCUGUGGCCAGGAGUGUGGGUCCCGUGUCCAGCUCCCGUAGAAAGUAAAGAUAGCAAUAGGGUUACACUUCAGCUACAGCUCCGGGGUUUUUAUCCUUAUCUUGGACAUCACUGGAAUGCAGAGCUGAGUCCAUCUCUGGCACUGGAAAACCUGUUUCCCUUUCUUCAUCAGCUUUCCCCACCUUCAAGUCUUUGUUUCAACAGUUCCAGAGCUUUGUACCAUAGCGGAAGACUC
rnacentral:lncRNA from 1 species